UACAGGCGUGAAUUUGAUUGAAUUUUCAGCAUUUGAAUUAAAUUUUUACAACUAAAGGCCCCUUACGGUCCCUGGGGAAAAGCGAUGGAAUACAAAGCGAUCAGCUUCAGGGAAAGCUUUUUAUAACGAAAAUGUUUAAUGAAAUUUCUUCAGAAUUGAUCACCAGCACUAAAGAUGAUUUGACAACAACUGGAAAUGUAAAUUACAAAAUAAACAUCAGAGCUUUGGGAAUAAUUUCCACGGUUUUAGAACUUCCUUUCGAGAACCACAGCGCCCUUCAACAAAGCUAUGAUCCUUUUAUUGACAUGUGGAGGGUACAACAUUAUCUAGGUCAAUUACUCUUUUGUUUACCUAUAGGGAGGACAACAACAUUAGCAACAUCAACGGACCUUGGGGUUAUUGGCUUCACUAAGUGUCACAGACAAUUGCGUCCAAGUGACUUGACUUCCGUACGAUCGAGAACGGCUAUAGACAAUUUUCUUUCGAACAAAUCAAAUAUACUCUGUGGCAACAUGUUGAGAGAGUUAAAUGAAGUGAAAUAGCCGAUGCGAUUUCCAAAACUUCCAUCCGCUUGGUUACCGAACCGAUACAGGAAAUACGCAAAGGGCUGACAGACGGAUCAGGGUAAGAUGGAAUGGUUAAGGGCAUGAAGAAAUGCCAAGAUCAUGUGCAAGAGAACGAUAGGUUUGUAACUUUUAUCAGUAAAAGGAAAAAAAGUAUAAAAAGUUGUGAUGAAAGAAUGUACUUGCUUAUAAUAAAUA